CCUUGUACACACCGCCCGUCACACCAUGGGAGUUGGGUUUUUACCUCGAAGGACGGUCGGCGCCUAAACCCGCAAGGGGGAGGCCACGCCGGACCACGGUAGGUCAGCGACUGGGGUG
rnacentral:rRNA from 1 species